rnacentral:rRNA from 1 species
CAGUCGCCACGGGAAUACAGAGGGUGCGAGCGUUAAUCGGAUUUACUGGGCGUAAAGCGUGCGUAGGCGGCUUUUUAAGUCGGAUGUGAAAUCCCUGAGCUUAACUUAGGAAUUGCAUUCGAUACUGGGAAGCUAGAGUAUGGGAGAGGAUGGUAGAAUUCCAGGUGUAGCGGUGAAAUGCGUAGAGAUCUGGAGGAAUACCGAUGGCGAAGGCAGCCAUCUGGCCUAAUACUGACGCUGAGGUACGAAAGCAUGGGGAGCAAACAGGAUUAGAUACCCCAGUAGUCCCUGUCUCUUACAA